UACGUAGGGGGGCAAGCGUUGUCCGGAUUUAUUGGGCGUAAAGAGCGUGUAGGCGGCCUGACAGGUCUGCUGUGAAAACUCGAGGCUCAACCUCGAGAUGUCGGCGGAAACCGUCUGGCUAGAGUCCGGAAGAGGAGAGUGGAAUUCCUGGUGUAGCGGUGAAAUGCGCAGAUAUCAGGAGGAACACCAAUGGCGAAGGCAGGUCUCUGGGCCACAACUGACGCUGAGGAGCGAAAGCAUGGGGAGCGAACAGG
rnacentral:rRNA from 1 species